rnacentral:rRNA from 1 species
GGUGGACUAAUACCGCAUGUGGUAGUUUAGUUUAAAGCUCCGCUUAGGGAAGAGCUUGCGUCCUAUCAGGUAGUUGGUGGGGUAACGGCCUACCAAGCCUUCGACGGGUAGCUGGUCUGAGAGGAUGUCCAGCCAGACGGGGACUGAGACACGGUCCCGACUCCUACGGGAGGCAGCAGCAGGGAAUUUUGCGCAAUGGGCGAAAGCCUGACGCAGCAACACCGCGUGAGGGAAGACAGCCUUCGGGUCGUAAACCUCUUUUAUCAGGGAAGAAUGACGGUACCUGAUGAAUAAGUCACGGCUAACUACGUGCCAGCAGCUGCGGUAAUACGUAGGUGGCGAGCGUUAUCCGGAUUCAUUGGGCGUAAAGAGCGCGUACGUGGUCCUUCAAGUCAGAUGUUAAAUCUCCCGGCUUAACUGGGAGCUGUCCUCUGAUAC